AGCAUUUCAGUUUGCUUGCAAACUGGAGAUGGCGACCGGCGCACGGGUGAGUAACACGUAUCCAACCUGCCGAUAACUCGGGGAUAGCCUUUCGAAAGAAAGAUUAAUACCCGAUGGUAUAAUCAGACCGCAUGGUCUUGUUAUUAAAGAAUUUCGGUUAUCGAUGGGGAUGCGUUCCAUUAGGCAGUUGGUGAGGUAACGGCUCACCAAACCUUCGAUGGAUAGGGGUUCUGAAAGGAAGGUCCCCCACAUUGGAACUGAGACACGGUCCAAACUCCUACGGGAGGCAGCAGUGAGGAAUAUUGGUCAAUGGGCGCAGGCCUGAACCAGCCAAGUAGCGGGAUGACGCUAUGGGUAAUUUUUAUAUGGGAAUAAAGUUUUCCACGUGUGGAAUUUUGUAUGUACCAUAUGAAUAAGGAUCGGCUAACUCCGUGCCAGCAGCCGCGGUAAUACGGAGGAUCCGAGCGUUAUCCGGAUUUAUUGGGUUUAAAGGGAGCGUAGGUGGACAGUUAAGUCAGUUGUGAAAGUUUGCGGCUCAACCGUAAAAUUGCAGUUGAUACUGGCUGUCUUGAGUACAGUAAGGUGGGCGGAAUUCGUGGUGUACGGUGAAAUGCUUAAUAUCACGAAGAACUCCGAUUGCGAAGGCAGCUCACUGGACUGCAACUGACACUGAUGCUCGAAAGUGUGGGUAUCAAACAGGAUUAGAUACCCUGGUAGUCCACACAGUAAACGAUGAAUACUCGCUGUUUGCGAUAUACAGUAAGCGGCCAAGCGAAAGCAUUAAGUAUUCCACCUGGGGAGUACGCCGGCAACGGUGAAACUCAAAGGAAUUGACGGGGGCCCGCACAAGCGGAAGAACAUGUGGAUUAAUUCGAUGAUACGCGAGGAACCUUACCCGGGCUUAAAUUGCAUUUGAAUAUAUUGGAAACAGUAUAGCCGUAAGGCAAAUGUGAAGGUGCUGCAUGGUUGUCGUCAGCUCGUGCCGUGAGGUGUCGGCUUAAGUGCCAUAACGAGCGCAACCCUUAUCUUUAGUUACUAACAGGUCAUGCUGAGGACUCUAGAGAGACUGCCGUCGUAAGAUGUGAGGAAGGUGGGGAUGACGUCAAAUCAGCACGGCCCUUACGUCCGGGGCUACACACGUGUUACAAUGGGGGGUACAGAAGGCAGCUACCUGGUGACAGGAUGCUAAUCCCAAAAGCCUCUCUCAGUUCGGAUCGAAGUCUGCAACCCGACUUCGUGAAGCUGGAUUCGCUAGUAAUCGCGCAUCAGCCAUGGCGCGGUGAAUACGUUCCCGGGCCUUGUACACACCGCCCGUCAAGCCAUGAAAGCCGGGGGUACCUGAAGUACGUAACCGCAA
rnacentral:rRNA from 2 species